CAUGGCUCAGGACGAACGCUGGCGGCGUGCUUAACACAUGCAAGUCGAACGUGAUUUUUGUGGAAGGACCUUCGGGGACGGAAACAGAAUGAAAGUGGCGAACGGGUGAGUAACACGUGAGCAACCUACCUUACACAGGGAGAUAGCCGUUGGAAACGACGAUUAAUACCGCAUGAGACCACAGUACCGCAUGGUAUAGGGGUCAAAGAUUUAUCGGUGUAAGAUGGGCUCGCGUCUGAUUAGCUAGUUGGAAGGGUAAAGGCCUACCAAGGCGACGAUCAGUAGCCGGUCUGAGAGGAUGAACGGCCACAUUGGAACUGAGACACGGUCCAAACUCCUACGG
rnacentral:rRNA from 1 species